CUUCCAGAGACCCUCCCCGCACCCUCCCUCUGGGCUGAGCCAGGCUCUGUGGUCCCUUGGGGUAGCACUGUGACCAUCUGGUGUCAGGGAAUCCUGGAGGCCCACGAGUUCCAUCUGGAUAAAGACGGACACCCAGUGCCCUGGGACAGACAGAAGCCACUGGAGCCUGGGAACAAAGCCAAGUUCUCCAUCAGAUACAUGACAGACAGACAUGCAGGCCGAUAUCACUGUUCCUGUCAAAGCCCCACUGGCUCCUCAAAGGGCAGUGACCCCCUGGAGCUGGUGGUGACAGGUGCGAGCCCCCUCAGGGUCCCCGCCCCAGGCUCUGCCCUCGGGGAGGGGGUCUGCUCCCAGAGCAUCUCCCUCUCACAGUCCAGCCCUGGGGAUACUGUGGGGGGAUCUGGGUCCUAUUUAAUGUGUCCCUUCCUCCUCUCCUAGGUUUCCAUGGCGAAACCACUCUCUCAGCCCUGCCCAACCCCAUGGUGACCUCAGGAGGGAAGGUGACCCUCCAGUGCACCUCAUGGACGGCAUUCCAUAGGUUCGUCCUGAUGAAGGAAGGAGAACCCAGACCCGUCUGGACCCUGGACUCUCAGAAACCCACCAGUGGACAGUUCCAGGCCCUGUUUCUUGUGGGCCCUGUGACCCCCAGCGCCAGGUGGACGUUCAGAUGCCAUGGCUAUUUCAACAACACUCCCCAGUUGUGGUCAUACCCCAGUGACCCCCUAGAACUGCUGGUCUCAGGUGAGGGAGUCUGAUUUUUGUUGCAUCCGUGUUUUGACCACCAGACAGGUUAUGGAGGCUCUGCUCCCAGGGGAGCCCCAGAUCAGAGGGUGGGGUGAGGGGAUCACAGGGAUCUCACAGGUCAGAGACACAGAAUGUGAGAGACACUGAGACCUGGGGGUCAGGACAGGAGAAGAGAGGUUUGGGGAGAAUCUGCUCCUCAAUCCACGACUGGUUGUCUCCCAGGUAUGUCCAGGAAGCCCUCCCUCCUGACCCAGCAGAGCCCCGUCGUGACCCCUGGACAGAGGCUGACCUUCCAGUGUCGCUCUGACGUCGGCUAUGACAGAUUCGCUCUGUACAAGGAGGCGGCACGUGACCUUCCCCAGCACCUUAGCCUGCAGCCCCAGGCUGGGCUCUCGGGGGCCGACUUCCCCCUGGGCCCAGUGAGCGGCUCCCACGGGGGCCGGUACACAUGCNGAGCCAGGCUCUGUGGUCCCCUGGGGUAGCGCUGUGAACAUCUGGUGUCAGGGGACCCUGGAGGCCCUGAAGCUCCAUGUGUAUAAAGAGGAAGGCUCAGUGUACCUGGACAGACAGCCCACACUAGAGCCUGGGAACAAGGCCAAGUUCUCCAUCACACACAUGACAGAUAGACAUGCAGGACGGUAUCGCUGUUCCUAUCGAAGCCCCGCUGGCUUGUCAGAGCGCAGUGACCCCCUGGAGCUGGUGGUGACAGGUGCGAGCCCCCUCAGGGUCCCCGCCCCAGGCUCUGCCCUCAGGGAGGGGGUCUCCUCCCAGCGUGUCUCCCCUCACAGUCCAGCCCUGGGGGUGUUGUGGGGGGUGGAAUCUAAGCCCCAUUUAACACGCCCCCUCCUCCUCUCCUAGGAUUCCAAAUCAAACCCCAUCUCUCAGCCCUGCCCAGACCCGUCGUGACCUCAGGAGGGAAGGUGACCCUCCAGUGCACCUCAUGGACGGCAUUCCAUAGGUUCGUCCUGAUGAGGGAAGGAGAACCCAGACCCGCCUGGACCCUCGACUCCCAGCGACACACCAGUGGGCAGUUCCAGGCCCUGUUUCCUGUGGGCCCUGUGACCCCCAGCACCAGGUGGACCUUCAGAUGCUAUGGCUAUUACAGCAACAUCCCCCACAUGUGGUCACUCUCCAGUGACCCCCUGGAGCUCCUGGUCUCAGGUGAGGGAAGCUGAUUUUUGUUGCAUCCGUGUUUUGACCACCAGACAAGUUAUGGAGGCUCUGCUCCCAGGGGAGCCCCAUCACAGGGUGGGGUGAGGGAGACACGGGAUCUCACAGGUCAGAGACACAGAAUGUGAGAGACACUGAGACCUGGGGGUCAGGACAGGAGAAGAGAGGUUUGGGGAGAAUCUGCUCCUCAAUCCACGACUGGUUGUCUCCCAGGUAUGUCCAGGAAGCCCUCCCUCCUGACCCAGCAGAGCCCCGUCGUGACCCCUGGACAGAGGCUGACCCUCCAGUGUCGCUCUGACGUCGGCUAUGACAGAUUCGCUCUGUACAAGGAGGCGGCACGUGACCUUCCCCAGCACCUUAGCCUGCAGCCCCAGGCUGGGCUCUCGGGGGCCGACUUCCCCCUGGGCCCAGUGAGCGGCUCCCACGGGGGCCGGUACACGUGCUAUGGUGGACACAACCUCUCCUCCGAGUGGUCGGCCCCCAGUGACCCCCUGGACAUCCUGGUCACAGGUGAGGGGACACGGGUUCAGUCAGGGCCCCCGACUCUGCACAGGCCCUGCUGGGGGUGUCCCAGGUGNUUUAUUUUUUAUUUAUUUUUAAAAUUUUUUUUCAACGUUUAUUUAUUUUUGGGACAGAGAGAGACAGAGCAUGAACGGGGGAGGGGCAGAGAGAGAGGGAGACAGAAUCAGAAACAGGCUCCAGGCUCUGAGCCGUCAGCACAGAGCCCGACGCGGGGCUCGAACUCACGGACCGCGAGAUCGUGACCUGGCUGAAGUCGGACGCUUAACCGACUGCGCCACCCAGGCGCCCCAAAAUGUUCAUUUUUUAAAACAUUAAUCACAUUUAUAAAUCCUAGUCAAAAUGGCCAAGAGUGGGGGGCACCCAUUAUCAUUUUCAGGAGGGCAUCACAUCCUACAGACUUUAAAUCAGUAAUAGAACAUGAUGAUCGAUUGUAUGCCAAUAUAUUAGAAAAUGUAGAUGAAAUGAACACAAUCCCCAAAAAUACAAGUUUCCAAAAUGAUGAAGGAUAAGUAGAAAAUAUGUAUCACCUUAUGUAUACAUUAAAUGCAUUGACUCUGUGAUCAAAAAUCACCCCCCAACUGAAGUGUGAGGAAACUGACAGAAAUGGAGAGCAGAAUGGUGGCUGUCAGGUCUGGGGGUGCAGAAAUGGUGAAGUGUUGGUCAAGAUUAUAGGUAUAAGAUUAAGAGAUAUAUAGUUAGUUCUAAGAUUAUACAUUCUGGGGAUCUAAUGUACAGCAUGGUGACCAUAGCUAUACUGUAUCAUCUUGAAUGUGGCAAAGAGAGUAGAUCUAAGAUGUUAUCAUAUAAAAAAGGCAGCUAUGUCAUGGGAUGGAAGUGUUAGCUAAUGCCAUAGUGAUAAUCAUCUUGUAAUAUAUACAUGUGUCCGUUGAGGAGGCUUCAUUGGCAAUUUCCUCCAAACACUUACAAAACACACACACACCAGAAUUACACAAGCCUUUCUUGAGAAAAAAAAAAAAAAAAAAGGAAGUAAUAUUUUAUCAGGCUAGGAAAAUAUUGACACCAAAGCCUGGAAAGGAAUUUAUAGAAUGGGAAAGGUACGGAACGAUGUCUCACAUAAACUUAGAUGUAAAUCUCUAAACGAAACAUUCACAAAUAAGAUUCAGCAGUAUAUAAAAAGGACAAUACAUCAUGACCAUACUGGAUUUUGCAGGGGAGAGGAAGAACAGAGUAGCUUAAAGUAUUAAAAAUCAAUCAAUAUAAUCCAAUACAUUAACAGAAUAAGUUAAAAAAAAUGACCAUCUCACAAACUAGUGGUUGCCAGAGGGGAAGAGGGUGGGGAUGGGUGAAGCAAAUGAAAGAGCUUAAAAGGCAUAAACUUUGAGCUAGAAAAUAAAUGAGCCACAGGGAUGAAAAAUACAGCAUAGGGAAUAUAGUCAAUAAUAUUGUAAUAAUUUUGUUUCUGACACUAAAUAACUACACUUCAUAUAGUGAGCAUUUCAUAAUGCAUGUAAUUGUUGAAUCACUAUACUGUUCACCUGAACCUAAUAUGUCAAUGUAGAUGAUUGUACUUUAGUUAAAAAUUUAAAAAAUGAAGAAAUCUCAACAGGUGCAGACAAAGCUUUUGAUAAAAUACACCAACAAUUCAUCAUGAAAAUAAAAACUCAUCAGAUAUAAAAGGUUGUUUCUUAGAACUUACAGAGGCAUAUUUAGCAAUCACCACUUAGCCAAUCAUUUUUAAAGGUGAGAACUUGAAGUCCUCUCUCUGAUUGGAAAUGAUGCAAGUAUGUUUCCUAUGACCAUUUGUAUUUAGCAUGGCAUUGAAUUUAUUUAAUUGGAGGUACUAACCAAUUAAAUGAAGCAAAACAAAGUGAUAAGCACUGAAAUGGAUAAGAAUAAUAAUUGUAUUGCUUCAAGAUUACACAGGUGUGUGCACAGAAGAUUAAAAAUAAUAUAAAGAUGUAUUAUCCAAAUUAAAAAGUUUCCUUGCCAUUUGCAGUGACGUGGAUGGAGUUAGAAUGCAUUAUGCUAAGUGAAAUAAGGCAAUCAGAGAAGACAAAUAUCAUAUGAUUUCCCUCAUAUGUGAAAUUUAAGAAAGAAAACAGAUGAACAUAUAGAAGUAGAAGGGGGAGAGAGAAGAGAGGGAAACAAACCAUAAAGACUCUAGAGAACAAACAGGGUUGAUGGAGGUGGGUGGGGGAUGGGCUAGAUGGGUGAUGGGUAUUAAGGAGGACACUUGUUGGGAUGACCACUGGGUGUUGUACGUAGGUGAUGAAUCACUAAAUUCUACUCCUGAAAACAAGAUUGCACUGUAUGUUAACUAAAAAAAAUUUUUUUUAAUUCCAGAUUUACUGGAUACAUGGUCAAUAUUUAGAAAUCAGUUGCAUUCAGAGUUCCAGUUCUGGAUGAAGAUAGAGUAGGUGGAUGCCCCCCUAUUUCUUUAUACCGGUGAGACUGAUUAUUUACUUCUGACCUCCAGAAUUAUAAUAAAUUUAUGUUAUCUUAAGAUACCAAGUUUGUGGUCAUUUAUGACAACAGCAAUUAGAAACUAAUACAACCACUUAAAUUUUCUUUUGAUUAAUGUUUGCAUAGUACAUUUUUCAUUCUUCUACUUUUUUAUGUUUUUAUUUAUUUUUUGAGAGAGAGAAAUAGAAUGUGAGUGGGGGAGGGACAGAGAGAGAGAAGGAAACACAGAAUCUGAAGCAGGCUCCAGGCUCUGCACUGUCAGCACAGACCACGAUGUGGGACUUGAACUCACAAACUGUGAAAUCAUGACCUGAGCUGAAGUUAGAUGCUCAACUAAUUGAGCCACCCAGGCACCCCUCUUCUACCUUUUCAUGUGGUUACAUUACAUAAAAUUCACCAUUUUAACCAUCACUAAAGCAUAUAAUUCAGUGGCAUGAAGUAUAUUUACCAUCUUAGACAAUCAUCACCACUAUCCAUUUCCAGAAAACUGUUAUUAUACCAAAUGGAAGCUCCCUACACAUUAAAUAAUUACUCCCAUGUCCCUUUGCCACCAGCCCUUGUCAAUCUCUGUUCCAAUUCCUAUGUCUGUGACUUUGUCUACUUAGUACAUCAAAGUGGAAUCAUACAAUAUGCGACUUUUUGUGUCUGGAUUUUUUACUUAGCACAAUGUUUUCAAGAUUCAUCCACAUUGUUCAUUCUUUUGCUUUUCACCCAUUUACACCAUUAUAUUUGAAGUGAAUUUCUUAUAGACUGCAAAUAGAGUUUUGCUUAUAGUUGUUUUUCUUUUUUUCAUCUUUAAUUAAUUUUUUUUAAAUUUACAUCCAAGUUAGUUAGCAUAUAGUGCAACAAUGAUUUCAGGAGUAGAUUCCUUAAUGCCUCUUACUCAUUUAGCCCAUCCCCCCAUCCCACAACCCCUCCAGUAACCCUCCUUUUGUUCUCCAUAUCUAAGAGUCUCUUAUGUUUUGUCCCUCUCCCAGUGUUUAUAUUGGGAAGCAAAACUAAUAUAGUUGUUUUUCUUAAGCCCAUCUUAAAAUCUUUGUCUUUUAAGUGUUGUAUUUAGAUCAUUUACUUAUAGUGUAAUUCCUGAUAAGAUUGUUAUUAGAUUUCCCAUUUUAUUUUUGUUUGUCCCCUCUUUUGUUUGUUCUUCUAUUUUUCCUCUUCUGCCUUUAAAAAUAUUUUAUUGACAUUUUAACAAUAUUUAUUCUUCUAAUCCAUGAUCAUGGAGUGUUUUUCCAUUUCUUUGUAUUUUCUUCAAUUUCCUUCAUAAGCUUUCUAUAGUUUUCAGCAUACAGAUCUUUUACAUCUUUGUUUAGGUUUAUUCCUAGGUAUUUUAUGGUUCUUAAUGCAAUUGUGAAUGAGAUCGGUUUCUUUAUUUCUCUUUCCGUUGCUUUAUUAUUGGUGUAUAAAAAUGCAACUGAUUUCUUUACAUUAAUUUUCUACCCUGCGACUUUGCUGAAUUCAUGUAUCAGUUCUAGCAGACUUUUGAUGGAGUCUGUCAGGUUUCCCAUGUGCAGUAUCAUGUCGUCUGCAAAAAGUGAAAGUUUGACUUCAUCUUUGCCAAUUUUGAUGCCUUUGAUUUCCUUUUCUUGUCUGUUUGCUGAUGCUAGCACUUCCAACAGUAUGUUAAGCAACAGCAGUGACAGUGGACAUCCCUGUCGUGUUCCUGAUCUCAGGGGGAAAGCUCUCAGUUUUUCCCCAUUGAGGAUGAUAUUAGCUGUGGGCUUUUCAUAAAUGGCUUUUAUGAUGUUCCUUCUAUGUUCCUUCUAUCUCGACUUUCUCGAAGGUUUUUAUUAAGAAAGGAUGCUGUAUUUUGUCAAAUGCUUUUUCUGCAUCGAUUGACAGGAUCAUAUGGUUCUUAUCUUUUCUUUUAUUAAUGUGAUGUAUCACAUUGAUUGAUGUGAGAAUAUUGAAGCAACCCUGCAGCCCAGAAAUGAAUCCCGCUUGAUCAUGGUGAAUAAUUCCUUUUAUAUGGUGUUGAAUUCGAUUUGCUAGUAUCUUGUUGAGAAUUUUUGCAUCCGUAUUCAUCAGGGAUAUUGGCCUGUAGUUCUCUUUCUUUGCUGGAUCUCUGUCUGGUUUGGGGAUCAAAGUAAUGCUGGCCUCAUAGUAUGAGUCUGGAAGCUUUCCUUCCCUUCCUAUUUUUUGGAACAGCCUGAGAAGGAUAGGUAUUAUCUCUGCUUUGUAGAAUUCCCCAGGGAAGCCAUCUGGUCCAGGACUUAUUUGUUGGGAGAUUUUUGAUAACUGAUUCCAUUUCUUCACUGGUUAUGCAUCUGUUCAAAUUUUCUAUUUCUUCCCUUUGAGUUUUGGAAGUGUGUGGCAUUCAAUGCAAUAGCAAUCAAAACUGCACCAGCAUUCUUCUCAAAGCUAGAACAAGCGAUCCUAAAAUUUGUAUGGAAUUACAAAAGACCCCGAAUAGCUAAAGUAUUAUUAAAUUUAAAAAGUUUUUAAUGUUUAUUUAUUUUUGCAGAGAGAGAGACAGACAGAGCAUGAGUGGGGGAGGGGCAGAGAGAGAGGGAGACACAGAAUCUGAAACAGGCCCCAGGCUCUGAGCUGUCAGCACAGAGCCUGAUGCUUGAACUCACAGACAGCGAGAUCAUGACCUGAGCCGAAGUCAGAUCCUCAACCAACUGAGCCACAUAGGUGCCCCACCAAAGUAAUAUUGAAGAAGAAAACCAAAGUGGGAGAAAUCACAAUCCCAGACUUUAGCCUCUACUACAAAGCUGUAAUCAUCAAGACAGUAUGGUGUUGGCACAAAAACAGACACAUAGACCAAUGGAAUAGAAUAGAGACCCCAGAAUUGGGCCCACAAAUAUAUGGCCAACUAAUCUUUGACAAAGCAGGAAAGAGUAUCCAAUGGAAAAAAGACAGUCUCUCUAACAAAUGGUGCUGGGAGAACUGGACAGCAACAUGCAGAAGAAUGAAACUAGACCACUUUCUUACACCAUUCACAAAAAUAAACUCAAAAUGGAUGAAAGACCUGAAUGUGAAACAGGAAACCAUUAAAACCGUAGAUGAGAAAGCAGGAAAAAACCUCUUUGACCUCAGCCGCAGCAAUUUCUUACUCGACACAUCUCCAAAGGCAAGGGAAUUAAAAGCAAAAAUGAACUAUUGGGACCUCAUCAAGAUAAAAAGCUUCUGUACUGCAGAGGAAAUAAUCAACAAAACCAGAAGGCAACCAACAGAAUGGGAAAAGAUAUUUGCAAAUGGCAUAUCGGAUAAAGGGUUAGUAUCCAAAAUCUAUAAGGAACUCACCAAACUCCACACCUUAAAAACAAAAAAUCCUGGCACAAAAACAGACACACAGACCAAUGGAAUAGAAUAGAAACCCCAGAACUAGACCCACAAACGUAUGGCCAACUCAUCUUUGACAAAGCAGGAAAGAACAUCCAAUGGAAAAAAGACAGCCUCUUUAACAAAUGGUGCUGGGAGAACUGGACAGCAACAUGCAGAAGAAUGAAACUAGACCACUUUCUUACACCAUUCACAAAAAUAAACUCAAAAUGGAUGAAAGACCUGAAUGUGAAACAGGAAACCAUUAAAACCGUAGAUGAGAAANNNNNNNNNNNNNNNNNNNNNNNNNNNNNNNNNNNNNNNNNNNNNNNNNNNNNNNNNNNNNNNNNNNNNNNNNNNNNNNNNNNNNNNNNNNNNNNNNNNNNNNNNNNNNNNNNNNNNNNNNNNNNNNNNNNNNNNNNNNNNNNNNNNNNNNNNNNNNNNNNNNNNNNNNNNNNNNNNNNNNNNNNNNNNNNNNNNNNNNNNNNNNNNNNNNNNNNNNNNNNNNNNNNNNNNNNNNNNNNNNNNNNNNNNNNNNNNNNNNNNNNNNNNNNNNNNNNNNNNNNNNNNNNNNNNNNNNNNNNNNNNNNNNNNNNNNNNNNNNNNNNNNNNNNNNNNNNNNNNNNNNNNNNNNNNNNNNNNNNNNNNNNNNNNNNNNNNNNNNNNNNNNNNNNNNNNNNNNNNNNNNNNNNNNNNNNNNNNNNNNNNNNNNNNNNNNNNNNNNNNNNNNNNNNNNNNNNNNNNNNNNNNNNNNNNNNNNNNNNNNNNNNNNNNNNNNNNNNNNNNNNNNNNNNNNNNNNNNNNNNNNNNNNNNNNNNNNNNNNNNNNNNNNNNNNNNNNNNNNNNNNNNNNNNNNNNNNNNNNNNNNNNNNNNNNNNNNNNNNNNNNNNNNNNNNNNNNNNNNNNNNNNNNNNNAGGAGUACUGAUGCAUAGGGGCACUUUUACCCCAAUGUUCAUAGCAGCACUUUCAACAAUAGCCAAAUUAUGGAAAGAGCCUAAAUGUCCAUCAACUGAUGAAUGGAUAAAGAAAUUGUGGUUUAUAUACACAAUGGAAUACUAUGUGGCAAUGAGAAAAAAUGAAAUAUGGCCCUUUGUAGCAACGUGGAUGGAACUGGAGAGUGUAAUGCUAAGUGAAAUAAGCCAUACAGAGAAAGACAGAUACCAUAUGGUUUCACUCUUAUGUGGAUCCUGAGAAACUUAACAGGAACCCAUGGGCCGGGGAAGGAAAAAAAAAAGAGGUUAGAGUGGGAGAGAGCCAAAGCAUAAGAGACUGUUAAAAACUGAGAACAAACUGAGGGUUGAUGGGGGGUGGGAGGGAGGGGAGGGUGGGUGAUGGGUAUUGAGGAGGGCACCUUUUGGGAUGAGCACUGGGUGUUGUAUGGAAACCAAUUUGUCAAUAAAUUUCAUAAAAAAAAAACAAAAAAAAAACAAAAAAUCCAGUGAAGAAAUGGACAGAAGGCAUGAAUAGACACUUUUCUAAAGAAGACAUCCAGAUGGCCAACAGACACAUGAAAAGAAGCUCAAUGUCACUCCUCAUCAGGGAAAUACAAAUCAAAACCACACUGAGAUAACACCUUACGCUGGUCAGAGUGGCUAAAAUGAACAAAUCAGGAGACCAUAGAUGUUGGUGAGGAUGUGGAGAAACAGGAACCCUCUUCCACAGUUGGUGGGAAUGCAAACUGGUUGCAGCUGCUCUGGAUAACAGUGUGGAGGUUCCUCAAAAAAUUAAAAAUAGAUCUACCCUAUGACCCAGCAAUAGCACUGCUAGGAAUUUACCCAAGGGAUACAGGAGUGCUGAUGCAUAGGGGCACUUCUACCCCAAUGUUUAUAGCAGCACUUUCAACAAUAGCCAAAUUAUGGGAAGAGCCCAAAUGCCCAUCAACUGACAAAUGGAUAAAGAAGAUGUGGUUUAUGUAUACAAUGGAAUACUACUUGGCAAUGAGAAAGAAUGAAAUCCGGCCAUUUGCGGCAAUGUGGAUGGAACUGGGGGGUAUUACGCUAAGUGAAAUAAGUCAGGCAGAGAAAGAUAGAUAACGUAUGUUUUCACUCAUAUGUGGAUCCUGAGAAACUUAACAGAAGACCAUGGAGGGAGGGGGAGGGGGGGAAAAUGUUACAGAGAGGGAAGGAGGCAAACCGUAAGAGACUCUUAAAUACUGAGAACAAAGCGAGAGUUGAUGGAGGGUGGGGGAGAGGGGAAAAUGGGUGAUGGGCAUUGAGGAGGGCACCUGUUGGGAUGAGCACUGGGUGUUGUAUGGAAACCAAUUUGACAAUAAAUUAUAUUUAAUAUAUAAAAAAGAAAGUAGGGGUAGAAGGAACAUACCUCCAGAUCAUAAAGGCCAUAUGCAAAAGACACGCAACUAAUAUCAUCCUCAAUGAGGAAAAACUGAGAAAUUUCCCACUAUGAACUCCACCACGAAAUAUCAAGACACAGAUGUCAUGGAUAUACUGUGCACACCAGCAGUCUCCUGUCUCCAUCUCUGCAAAAUUCCCAGCCAGUGUCCCCUUGGAUGGCUGCCCAAUAUCCUCCCCACUGCUCUCCUUCCAGAACUCACCAUAUCCACCAGACUCCCUCUUCCCCAAGUACUUCAGUCUGUGCAUUGCAUCUGACAAAGUGUCCUCAACAUUGUUUUCCAAUUUUAUAUUCUGCUCUUCAUCUGUGUCUUCUCAAUGAUGGUAAAAAUAGUUUGAGACUGUUCCAUCUAGUCUUUUUUUUUUUUUAAGUUAAAUUCAAGUUAAUUAACAUACAGUGCCAUUUUGGUUUCAGGAGAGGAACCCAGUGGUUCAUCUCUUACAUAUGACACCCAGUGCUCAUCCGAAAAGUGCCCUUCUUAAUACCCAUCACCCACUCAGCCCAUUACCCCACCCACCUCCCCUCCAGCAACCUUCAGUUUGUUCUUGGUUUUUAACAGUCUCAUGGUUUGCCUCCCUCUGUUUUUAUCUUGUUUUUCCUUCCCUUUUGCCAUGUUCAUCUGUUGUCUUUUUAAAAUUUCACACAUGAGUGAAAUUAUUUGAUAUCUGUCUUUCUCGGACUGACAUAAUUCACUUCGCGUAAUGCUCUCUAGUUCCAUCCACAUUGUGGCAAAUGGCAAGAUUUAAUUUUUUUUGUUCCCUGAGUAGUAUUCCAUUGAGUACAUCUUUAUCCAUUCUUCUGUCAGUGGAUAUUUGGACUCUUUCCAUACUUUGGCUAUUGUUGAUAGUACUGCUAGAAACAUUGGGGUACAUGUGCCCCUUUGAAUCAGCAUUUUUGUAUCCUUUGAUUAAAUACCUAUUAAUGCAAUUGCUGGGUUGUAGGGUAGUUCUAUUUUUAAUUUUUUGAGGAACCUCUACAUUGUUCUCCAGAGUGGCCACACUGGUUUGCAUUCCCGCCAGCAGUGCACCAGGGUUCCCUUUUCUCCACAUCCUCUACAACAUUUGUUAUUUCCUGAGUUGUUAAUUUUAGGCAUUCAGACAGGUGUGAGAUGGUAUCUCAUUGUAGUUUUGAUUUGUAUUUUCUUGAUGAUGAGUGAUGUUGAGCAUCUUUUCAUGUGUCUGUUGGCCAUCUGGAUGUCUUCUUUGGAGAAGUGUCUAUUCAUGUCUUCUGCCCAUUUCUUCACUGGAGUAUUUGUUUUUUGGGUGUUGAGUUUGAGAAGUUCUUUACAGAUUUUGGAUAUGAGCCAUUUAUCCAAUAUGUCAUUUGAGAAUUUCUUCUUCCAUUCUGUUGGUUGCCUUUUAGUUUUGUUGAUUGUUUGCUUUGCUGUGCAGAAGCUUUUUAUCUUGAUGAGGUCCCAAUAGUUCAUUUUUGCUUUUAUUUCCCUUGCCUCUGGAGAAAUGUUCAAUAAGAAGUGGCUGCAUCCUAGGUCAAAUAAGUUGCUGUCUAUUUUCUCCUGUAGAAUUUUGAUGGUUUCCUGUCUCACAUUUAGGUCUUUCAUCCAUUUUCAAUCUAUUUUUGUGUAUGGGGUAAGAAAGGGUCCAGGUUCAUUCUUCUGUACGUCGCUGUCCAGUUGUCCUAACACCAUUUGCUGAAGAAACUGUCUUUUUCCAUUGGAUAUUCUUUCCUGCUUUGUCAAAAUUAGUUGGCCAUAUACUUGUGGGUCCAUUUCUGAGCUCUCCAUUACAUUCCAUUGAUCUAUGUGUCUGUUUUUUUGUGCCAGUACCAUACUGUCUUGAUGAUUACAGCUUUGUAAUACAUCUUGAAGUCCAGAAUUGUGAUGCCUCCAGGUUUGGUUUUCUUUUUCAACAUUCCUUUGGCCAUUCAGAGUUUUUUCUGUUUCCACACAAAUUUUAGAACUCUUUAUUCUAGCUCUGUGAAGAAUGCUGGUAUUAUUUUGAUAGGGUUGCAUUAAAUGAGUAGAUUGCUUUGGGCAGUAUGAACAUUUUAACAAUAUUUGUUCUUCCAAUCCAUGAACAUGGAAUAAUUUUCUAUUUCUUUGUUUCCUCUUCAAUUUUUUCAUAAGCUUUCUAUAGUUAAGCAAACAGAUCUUUUUAUCUCUUUGCUUAGGUUCAUUUCUAGAUAUCUUAAGGGGUUUGGUGCAAUUUCUAAAUGGGAUCAAUUCCUUGAUAUCUCUUUUUGCUGCUUCAUUAUUGGUGUAAAGAAAUGCAGCUGAUUUCUGUAGAUUGAUUUUAUAUCCUGCACUUUGCAGAUGACAUGAUAGUCUUCAUGGAAAACCUGAAAGUCUCCACCAAAAACAGGUAGAGCUGAUCUAUAGGUUUUUACCUCCAACGUAUUCACUAAUGCAUUUCUAAAUUUAUGUAUCUUCUAUAAUAUAAUCUCUGUUAUGGCUUCAAAACUUCAGUUUUCUUCUCUUUCAGAUGUGUAACAUGGAUAACAUAAUGAGUUUCCUAUAUUCUUACUGUUCUAUAAUCUCAGCUAUGAUAAAUGACUUAUAGAGAGUCUGACGUCCAUUCAUAUUGUACACUCACCUCCACACACCUAUUUCCAGAGACAGUUGCUCCCAGGGCUGUCUUGAAGCUGUAAGGGGUGGAUAGUCAUGGAAACCUUGUCCUGUGGCCUCCACUCUCCCAACAUAGCAUCUGAUGAGGGAAAUUUGGACAGUGAUGGCUCCCAUGGGAGCCACACAUUCACACAUGCACUGACACCCAUGUGGGGCUCCAACGGAAGGAAGCGCUUUACACACAGACAGAGGGAACAUGGCUCAGUGCUGACCUUGGGCUGGAUCAGUGGGCAGAGACAUGUCAGGUCCCACUCCACACAUGGUGGAAGGUCAUGAAGCUUCCACAGUCACCCAGAAAGCACAUGCCCUUCCUGCCUGUGAACACCUGGCUGCCCCUCCUGGCCACACAGAGGCAGAAAUCAAAUUGGAUGACCCCCAGCUGGAUCCCAGGGACUGGUGGUCACUUGGCUUUGGCCUCUUUUUCUCUUGUGGUCCUGUCAAUUCUAGAAACGUUUGUUUCCCCUUUCUUGCAGUUGACGGAUGCCAGCUACGUCAGAAACAUCAUAAGUAGCAUUUCUCCACGUUAGAAGCAGAUGGGUUCUCUAGAGAGGGUGUAUCCCUGGUCCAACCUGACUGUGGGGCCCAACACCUGGUCCUCUCCUGUCCCAACCACACCCCUCUUAUUCAGGUUGGGAAACUAACAAUGAUUGAUUCUGCCAUGUUCCGGGUACCCCUGACCCCACACCCAUUAUGAGGAGUGGGGUUCAGGACAAAGUGCUACAGACCAGGUCCCUCUGCUAAGGUCUCAUGGGCAGCAGAUGAUGGAGUAAUAUUUACAUUAGAAUUAGCUUUGUCCCCCAGAUCAGGGCACUCACCCAUGCAUUGUCCCCUACAUCUUGCAUGCAGGGCCCCAGAAUGGGAAGGAGGACUCUGCCCCAGACAUAAGGGGCACUGAGAGACAGGAGGGACUCAUGGGCAUGUUCCCAGGAAGUGGAGGUGGAUGAUGACACAGGAAAAUAGAGAAGUCCAUGAAGGCUGUGACAGAAAGAAAGCCCACACUCUAAGGCCAGGAGAGGGCUGUGUUUCCUUCCCUAUUUCCCUGUAUUUCUCCUCUGUGUUCAUUGCCAUGGUGACCUUGACCUGAAUCAUGCAGAAAUGCCACAGGUAUGUCUGCACUGACAUGAGGCCACAGAAGAUCUAGAACCCUCAUCACCUACAGCAUCUCCGGAGCCUGGGAACCCCAUGUGUGGUGGCACCCCCAGGAUGUGGUGAGAAUGACGGAGAACCCAUAGGGGAGUCUCUGGGAGGGAAGGACGUGCCCUGGUCUCCUCACCUAGACAGGGCAUCUCAGGAAAACUCGGGGUCCACUUACUGCACCUUCAUGGACACCAGAGCCACCUCCUGGGGACAGGCUGUACUCCUUCCUGUGGGGCUGCUGACGUGACAACCCCAUGACCAGGCGGACCAGCCCCCAAGUGGCCACACCCUGUGCUUCUGUCUGUCCUGCGGGCACUGAGAUCCCUCCAUCUGCACAACCAGGGACAGAGGCAGGAGACACCAUGACCCCCACCCUCACAGCCCUGCUCCUCCUCGGUGAGAUCUCAGGAGGGGAGGGGACGCCCUAGUCUGGGAGGGACCCGCAGUCACAGCCAGGCCUUGGGGUUUCAGAGACCCCAGGCACAGGAGGCUCAUGGGGAGGAGGGGUUCUGCUCAGGAUUUGGGGCCAUCCUCUCACAGGAACUCUCUUCCAGGGCUGAGUGUGGGCCCCAGAACCCGAGGGCAGGCAGGUAAGUGUGUCCCUAGGGGUCCCUAGGAGCGUGUCCCCUCCUCACUGGAGACAGGGGUCACCCACCAGGCAGCUGCAAAUGGAGAACAGCAGUUCUGGGUGGAUGGAGAGGGGACGUCUGGGGCAUUGGGUCUGAGCUGAGAACUGGGGGUGGGGAAGGUCUUAUGACCGAGCCUCUGUUUCCUUCCAGGGACCCUCCCCAAACCCUCCAUCUGGGCUGAGCCAGGCUCUGUGGUCCUCCGGGGUAGUGCUGUGACCAUUUGGUGUCAGGGAAUCCUGGAGGCCCAAGUGUUCUUUCUGGUUAAAGAGGAACACUCAGGGUUCUGGGAUGUUCAUUUCCCAAAGAAGCCUGGGAACACGGCCAAGUUCUCCAUCACACACAUGACAGAUAGACAUGCAGGACAGUAUCACUGUUCCUAUCGAAGCCCCGCUGGCUUGUCAGAGCGCAGUGACCCCCUGGAGCUGGUGGUGACAGGUGCGAGCCCCCUCAGGGUCCCCGCCCCAGGCUCUGCCCUCAGGGAGGGGGUCUCCUCCCAGCGUGUCUCCCCUCAGAGUCCAGCCCUGGGGGUGUUGUGGGGGGUGGAAUCUGAGCCCCAUUUAACACGCCCCCUCCUCCUCUCCUAGGAUUCCAAAGCAAACCCCGUCUCUCAGCCCUGCCCAGCCCCGUCGUGACCUCAGGAGGGAAGGUGACCCUCCAGUGCACCUCAUGGAUGGGAUUCCAUAGGUUCGUCCUGAUGAGGGAAGGAGAACCCAGACCCGCCUGGACCCUGGACUCCCAGCGACCCACCAGUGGACAGUUCCAGGCCCUGUUUCCUGUGGGCCCUGUGACCCCCAGUGCCAGGUGGACGUUCAGAUGCCAUGGCUAUUUCAACAACACUCCCCAGUUGUGGUCAUACCCCAGUGACCCCCUAGAACUGCUGGUCUCAGGUGAGGGAGUCUGAUUUUUGUUGCAUCCGUGUUUUGACCACCAGACAGGUUAUGGAGGCUCUGCUCCCAGGGGAGCCCCAGAUCAGAGGGUGGGGGGAGGAGACACGGGGAUCUCACAGGUCAGAGAGACAGAAUGUGAGACACACUGAGACCUGGGGGCCAGGAUAGGGGAAGAGACGUUUGGGGAGAAUCUGCUCCUCAAUCCACAACUGGUUGUCUCGCAAGUGUGUCCAGGAAGCCCUCCCUCCUGACCCAGCAGAGCCCUUUCUUGACCCCUGGACAGAGGCUGACCUUCCAGUGUCGCCCUGAUGUUGGCUAUGACAGAUUCGCUCUGUACAAGGAGGCGGCACGUGACCUUCCCCAGCACCUUAGCCUGCAGCCCCAGGCUGGGCUCUCGGGGGCCGACUUCCCCCUGGGCCCAGUGAGCGGCUCCCACGGGGGCCGGUACACAUGCUAUGGUGGACACAACCUCUCCUCCGAGUGGUCGGCCCCCAGUGACCCCUGGACAUCCUGGUCACAGGUGAGGGGACACGGGUUCAGUCAGGGCCCCCGACUCUGCACAGGCCCUGCUGGGGGUGUCCCAGGUGUUGGUGGCUGGGGUCAGGGGUGUGGGGUCCCCAGGGAGGGAGAGAGACAGAGAGACAGGGGAUGGGGAAGGGGAGAGACUCAGAGGACAGACAGACAGACUCAGUUCAGAGCAAGGAUGGACAGCCCCUCACCUGCCUUCCUCUCUCCAGGACAGCUCCCCUCCACACCCUCCCUCUCAGUGCAGCCAGGACCCAUGGUGGCCUCAGGGGAGAAUGUGACCCUGCUGUGUCAGUCCUGGAGCUCUGUGGACACUUUCCUUCUGUCCAAGGAGGAGGCACCCGAUCCCCCCCUGCGUCUUAGAUCAGAGUACCGAGAUGGGCAUUACCAGGCCAAAUUCUCCAUGAAUCCUGUGACUUCAGCCCAGGGGGGGACCUACAGGUGCUACGGCUCAUACAGCACCUCCCCCUACCUGUUGUCACACCCAGUGACCCUGGAGCUCCAGGUCUCAGGUGAGGGGUCCCCAACCCUGUCCUUACUGACUCCAUCAGCUCAGGGCCCAACCCUCAGGAAAACCUGACAGUGACAAAUAAAGGGUUCAGGGGACUCCGUAGAGUAGGGUCCAGCCCAGGAGAGGUUGGAAAGAGCAGGGAUCUCCACCCAGGCUCCCCCAUCCUUCAGUCUCAGCAGAGAUGAGAGGUAGGGUGUGGGUGAGGGGUGGGUGAAGGAUCGUGAGUAGACAGAGGCCUCCUACUCUCUUCCUGAUGCCUCCAUAUCAGAAUCUGAACUGUGGUGUCAGGCCCCAUGGACUCUCCCCUAGAGGGAAGUCUCUAUACCUGUGGGCUCUGCUCUGCUGCCCCCUAUGCUUACCUGGGGGCCUCACUGCCACUGGGUGCACACCUGAUACCAGGUUCAAAGCUUUUCAACCUUAUUCGUAAAAAUGGUGUCAAUUCAUAGCUUGUUUUAAGAAUUGGUUAACUACUUUAAUACCACAAAGUAAGUUGUCUGAAUAAUAGUUAAGUAUGCCUAAGGGAGCUAUUGGUUUGGGCAUAUUUUUAUGUGCCGUUAACUCACUAUGCACUCUCUGACUUCCCAUUGCUGGUUUUUUUUUUUUCGUAAUUAAUUUAUUUAUUGGGGCACCUGGGUGGCUCAUUCAGUUGAGUGUCCAAAUUCAGCACAGGUCAUGAUCUCGCGGUCCGUGAGUUCGAGCCCCACAUUGGGCUCUGUGCUGAUGGCUCAGAGCCUGGAACGUGCUCUGGAUUCUGUCUCUCCCCCUCUCUCUGCCCCUCCCCUGCUUGCACUCUGUCUCUCCUUCUCUCUCAAAAAUAAAUAAACAUUAAAAAUAUUUUUUCAUUCAAGUUAGUUAACACACUAUGUAGUAUUGGCUUCAGUAGCAGAACCCAGUGAUGUAUCACUUAAAAUCAUUCUCUGUUUUUAUCUUAUUUUCCUUCCCUUCCCCUAUGUUCAUCUGUUGUCUGUCUUAAGUUUCACAUGUGAGUGAAAUUAUAUGAUAUUUGUUUUUCUCUGACUGACUUAUUUAGCCUUAGCAUAAUAACUCUAGCUUCAUCCACAUUGUUGCAAAUGGCAACAUUUUAUUCUUUUCCAUCACAGAGUAGUAUUCCGUGUGUGUGUGUGUGUGUGUGUGUGUGUGUGUGUGUAUGUAUCCUACACACACACAUACACACCACAUCUUCUUUAUCCAUUCAUCAGAAAAUGGACAUUGGGCUUUUUGCAUAAUUUGGCUAUUGUUGAUAGUGCUGCUAUAAACCUUGGAGUGCAUGUGCCCCUUUGAAUCAACAUUUUUCUAUUCUUUGGAUAACACCUACAAUUACAAUUUCUGGGUCUAACAUACUUCUAUUUUUAGUUUUUUGAGGACCCUCCAUACUGUUUUCCAGAGUGGGUACAACAGUUUGCAUUCCCACCAGCAGUGUAAAGGGUUCCCCCUUCUCCCCAUCCUGGCCAACAUCGGUUGUUUCCUGAGGUGUUAACAUUAGCAAUUCUGACAGGUGUGAGGUGGUUAUCAUUCUGGUUUUGAUUUAUAUUUCUCUGAAAUGAGAGAUGUUGAGGAUCUUUUCAUGUGUCUGUUAGCCAUCUGGAUGUCUUCUUUGGAAAAUUGCCUAUUCAUGGUUUCUGCCUAUUUCUUCACUGGAUUAUUUGGUUUCGUGGGAUUGAGUGCGAUGCGUUCUUUAUAGAUUUUAGAUACUAUUCUUUAUCUGAUAUAUCAUUUGAAAAUACUUCUCCCAGUCCAUUGGUUGCCUUUUAGUUUUGUUGACUGUUUCCUUCAUUGUACAGAAGCUUUUCAUCUUGAUGAGGUCCUUACAGUUCAUUUUUGUUUUCGUUUCCCUUGCCUCCAGACAUGUCUAGUAAGAAGUUGCUGCGGCGAAGGUCAAAGAGGCUACUUCCUGUGUUUUCCUCUGGGAUUUUGAUGGUUUCCUGUCUUAUCUUUAGGUCUUUUAUUCAUUUUGAAUUUAUUUAUCUGUAUGGUGUAAGAAAGUGGUCCAGUUUCAUUCUUCUGCAUGUAGCUGUCCAGUUUUCCCAGCACCAUUUGCUGAAAAGAGCAUCUCUUUUGCAUUGGAUACUCUUUCCUAUAUUGUUGAAGAUUAGUUGGCCAUAAAUGUGUCAGUCCAUUACUGGGUUCAACUGAUCUAUGUGUCUGUUUCUGUGCCGGUACCAUACUGUCUUGUUGAUUAUAGCUUUGUAGUACAGCUAGAAGUCCAGAAUUGUGAUGCCUCCUGCUUUGGUUUCUUUUUCAACAUUACUUUCAGUCUUUGCGGUCUGUAAUUUUUGUCUCUCUCUUUUUUUUUUUCUAUUUUGAUUUUCAUAUUAAAAUGAGGUAAUAGCUUUUCAUGAUUCCUUGUCUUUGUGUUCACUCGAUAUUAUAAUUCCACUGAACUUCUCUGUUCCUUGAAGUUGAAAACCAUACAUAGGGACUUCCUCAGUUUGACCCUGUGAGAUAGUGGGAGCAAAGUUUGUCUUUGACAAUGUAAAUAAAAUGAUUAGCUAUCCUUACUGGAAACAUCACCAGAUUUCUAGAGUUUGUCCCAAAACACCAAGAUGAUGAUGGAGCCUCCCAUUAUGGGCAUGCCUCCCUGAAUUGUCUCCAUUCACCAAGCCUGAGACCAGGUGUUCCUGUCGUCUUCCUGCCCCCAGGCCACAGUCAUGACUGAAGUUCUGUUGAGGAACAGACAGACCACACCUCUCUGUCUCUCCCUUUCUCUAGACAGGAAGAUCUACAUAUCCAUACAAAUACACGUGAUUAUGUAUUCAUUUAUCUAUAAUAUUUCUGUUAAUAUAAAUAUAUAUGGUUAUAUAUGUAUAUACAAAUGAUCUAUGAAUAUAACACACACACACACACACAUAUAUAUAUAUAUAUAUAUAUAUAUAUAUAUAUAUACAUACAUACACACAUACAGAUAUUCAUCUUCAUGGCCAUGCUCUUCAUUCAAUAGCUUUUCACAAUAGGAUCUCCCUGCCUAGACCCACACACAAGCAAGGAAUAAUGGUGUUUAUGUGACCCAGUAAAUGAACAUCACCUUUAGGAAAUACAUACUAAUGUGUUUUGUAUAGAUGUGUGCACCUAUCUAUGUGUAUAUCUAUCAACCAGUGUGGGCAUUUCUAAUUAUAUGAAAAAUGAAUUAAUGGAAGCACACGAGGAUGUAAAGUUCCAGGUACAGAUUAAAAUGCAGUCCCAGAAAGAUGGGAGCUGGCUGAGAUGGAGGGAAGGAGACCCUGCCCCGGAAUAUCCGGUCCCUCUGUGCUCCUAACCUUCAGGAGCCCCUGAUACCAACCCCUCAUCCAUGGAUGCUGGAUCCUUGGCUGUUGAAUAAAUGGGAACUCUCAGCUGUGGGGACAUGAGCACAUGGGGUUUUGUAUCCCAGACUGAACAGGGGACAUAUAAGGACACAAUUAUUUCUGUGUUGGGAGGAUAUUUUUCUCCCCAACCCUGAGCUCCUAGGGCACAGGUAGCAUCUACUCCAGAGUGACUCAUAAGCAAAGUCUGAAUUCAAAGAAGACAUGGAGAUGGAAGAAAUCCAAUGAGUAUGCCAAAGGAAACCCCAUUACUGCAGAGAAGGGGUUGUUCAGGAACUGUAUAAAAACUAUGUAAUGAGGAAUGAGGGAUAUAGAACACAGAGUCAGAAGACAGGCUGGACAGUGGUCUCAGGCUCCUGAGCAUCUGCUUCUAUUUUCCCCACAGUAGCAGCUGACACCAUCAGCCCACCCCAAAACAAGUCAGACCCCCACAUUGGUGAGUAGAAGAAAAUCUCAGUUUUGGGACUGGCAUGGAGGGUAAAGUCCUAUCAAGGGGAGGUGGGUGACUUUGGUGGGCAUCCAGAAUCUGGGGUGAUUUGGCUCUCCCCUGACCUCUGUAACCUUUUGGUCCUCAUUCCUAGCCUCCAACCCCAAAGAUUACACGCUGGAGAAUCUCAUCCGCAUGGGUGUGGCAGGCUUGGUCCUGGUGGUCCUCGGGAUUCUGCUAUUUCAGCCUCAACACAGCCACAGAAGAACCCCAGAUGCAACCAGGAGACAAACACAAUGAGAAAAUGGAGGCAACCCACCAUUCUGUGUGGCAGAGCUCUGGGAAUGAACCUAAUGGUCCAGGGGGUUCUGGAAGAAAAUCUGCAGCUUUGCCAGCAGAACUGUCUGCUGAGAAACU
rnacentral:lncRNA from 1 species